UGAUGAACGCUGCCUCACAGGUGAGGAUGAGGAUGAUGUAGCAGUCACAGGGGCAGGUGAUGAACUUUUCCUCACAGGUGAGGAUGAGGAUGAUGUAGCAGUAACAGGAGCAGGUGAUGAACGUUUCCUCACAGGUGAGGAUGAGGAUGAUGUAGCAGUCACAGGGGCAGGUGAUGAACGUUUCCUCACAGGUGAGGAUGAGGAUGAUGUAGCAGUCACAGGGGCAGGUGAUGAACGUUUCCUCACAGGUGAGGAUGAGGAUGAUGUAGCAGUCACAGGGGCAGGUGAUGAACUUUUCCUCACAGGUGAGGAUGAGGAUGAUGUAGCAGUCACAGGGGCAGGUGAUGAACGUUUCCUCACAGUUGAGGAUGAGGAUGAUGUAGCAGUCACAGGGGCAGGUGAUGAACUUUUCCUCACAGAUGAGGAUGAGGAUGAUGUAGCAGUAACAGGGGCAGGUGAUGAACUUUUCCUCACAGGUGAGGAUGAGGAUGAGGAUGAUGUAGCAGUCACAGGAGCAGGUGAUGAACGCUGCACAGAAGACCAAAGACACAAAAAAAAUACCACAGAUGUAAACAAAAAGUAAAUAUAAAUGCUUGCUUAAUUCAAAGUGCAUUGAUU
ensembl:lncRNA